GACGAACGCUGGCGGCGUGCCUAAUACAUGCAAGUAGAACGCGUUUCGCACGGGUGAGUAACGCGUGGUAACCUGCCUCAUAGCGGGGGAUAACUACCUGAAACGGUAGCUAAUACCGCCUACCCUCGGGUGUGCCCCGAUGGGAUUAGCUAGUAGGGGGGGUAACGGCUCACCUAGGCGACGAUCCCUAGCUGGUCUGAGAGGAUGACCAGCAACACUGGAACUGCGACACGGUCCAGACUCCUACGGGAGGCAGCAGGGGGGAAUAUUGCACAAUGGGCGCAAGCCUGAUGCAGCCAUGCCGCGUGUAUGAAGAAGGCCUUCGGGUUGUAAAGUACUUUCAGCGAGGAGGCGUUACUCGCAGAAGAAGCACCGGCUAACUCCGUGCCAGCCGCCGCGGUAAUAC
rnacentral:rRNA from 1 species